rnacentral:rRNA from 1 species
UUAACAGGAUUAGAUACCCUGGUAGUCCACGCCGUAAACGAUGUGUGCUAGCUGUCGGGACCAUAGGUUUCGGUGGCGGAGCGAAAGUUUUAAGCACACCGCCUGGGGAGUACGGUCGCAAGACUAAAACUCAAAGGAAUUGACGGGGACCCGCACAAGCGGUGGAGCAUGUUGUUUAAUUCGAAGCAACGCGAAGAACCUUACCCACACUUGACAUCCUCCUUGGGACUUAGAGAGAUCUUUGUCUUCGGUUCGGCCGGGGGAGUGACAGGUGCUGCAUGGCUGUCGUCAGCUCGUGUCGUGAGAUGUUCGGUUAAGUCCGGUAACGAGCGCAACCCUUAUUGUUAGUUGCCAUCAUUCAGUUGGGCACUCUAAUGAGACUGCCGGUGACAAGCCGGAGGAAGGCGGGGACGACGUCAAGUCAUCAUGGCCCUUACGUGUGGGGCUACAAACGUGCUACAAUGGUGGUGACAAUGGGCAGCUACCUCGCGAGAGGAUGCUAAUCUCCAAAAACCAUCUCAGUUCGGAUUGUUCUCUGCAACUCGAGAGCAUGAAGUUGGAAUCGCUAGUAAUCGUGGAUCAGAACGCUACGGUGAAUACGUUCCCGGGUCUUGUACACACCGCCCGUCACGUCAUGGGAGUUGGUUCUACCCGAAGGCGCCGCGCUAACCUCGGAGGCAGGCGACCACGGUAGGGUCAGCGACUGGGACGAAGUCGUAACAAGGUAACCAA